rnacentral:lncRNA from 1 species
ACAACUGAUUUUUCAUAUGUUUUUAUAUAUGAAAUAUAAAUGGGAUAUGUGUUUAAAAUAUGCGUAGACACUUAAAAUCCUCGAUAAAUCAAAUAAUUUUAAAUUACGCAUCCCAUUAACAAACAAUUGGCUCAUUAAUAAGUGUAAUGUGUUUUUGUUAAACUGUUUUUACUAGUUAAACUGAUUUUUAUGUUUUGUUUUCCUUCCUUUGACAGGUCCUUCAGGUUGGAAGGAAUAUCUUUAUUUGGAGGCAUGUCAGCUCAUUUUUCUCACUUCAGAUUCAUCAAUAUGACUUCUUGAGGCCAGAACGAAUUUUGAAGUAACCAGGAGCCUGUCCAUCUUAGAGCACCAAAUCCCUCAACUUUGGAGCACAAAAGAUCACUGAUAUGGUCUGCAUAAAAUCAUCUGCCUCAGUCUGACAGCCAUGAGCAGAACCCUGGGGGCAAAAAAAAAAAAAAAAAAAAGCCACAGCCUUAACUCUUCACUCUGAAAUUACCAAGACAAUUAAAAAAAAAAAAUGAAAGGAACUAAACAAGCAAGCCAACAACACCACCACCGACAACAAAAAACAAACACAACUCAUUUUAUUUCACCUUGGAAAAAAUAUUCCCAGAUGUGAGCCUGAAAAAAUUUAUAUUCAGCAAUUAAGCUAGAAAAUUGUAAGUUGACUUAUCAUUUGGGAAGGUGAAAGUAUAGAGAUAGGAGGUGUCUCUAGCUAGAAUUAUUUAGCAGUUUAAAACAAGUAGACAAAAACAAUGAACAGAGGAGCACGUCAGCAAGGAACAGUGUUAGGACAGAAUGUUGCUGUCUGCAGAGAGGAUGUCUGCCAUCUUGUGUACACCCUCAAAGCCAUAAUGGAAUAAAAGCAUUGUCGUUGAUUGCUUGAAAAGUUUCUGCAUUCACUCCUUCACUCCAUAUUAAGAGAGGGGGGAGGCCAGUUCUUACUGAUUACUUCUCAAUGCACUUCUAAUAUUUGCACUGUCACGUCCAUUCAGGGUAAUGAUGUGUGCCGUUAUUUGCACAGAUGGUCCCAUGAGUUUUGCGGCCACA